AACAUCGCGCACCUGCGGGAACCUGCGGAGGGAUCAUUACAGAGUUGCAAAACUCCCCAAACCAUUGUGAACGUUACCUAAACCGUUGCUUCGGCGGGCGGCCCGGGUCCUUCCCGGCGCCCCUCGGCCCUCGCGGGCGCCCGCCGGAGGUAAACCAAACUAUUGCAUUGUAUGGCCUCUCUGAGUCUUCUGUACUGAAUAAGUCAAAACUUUCAGCAACGGAUCUCAGAUCGGAAGAGC
rnacentral:misc_RNA from 1 species